rfam:Thiocapsa marina 5811 ctg460, whole genome shotgun sequence.
CAAGUCCCGAGCCGGUAAGGAUUGGCCAUCCACCGGAACCGAGUGUUGCGUGGUGCGGGAGCGAUCCCGCCUGCGAAGCGUACACAGGGGGCGUGCAGGCCAUGUGAUAGAGCCCCGUAACUGAGUUCGGCGGAGCCGACGUAUUCGGAAGACCGGAAGGCAACAGUUUCGGCAUCGCAACGGCCUGAUGUCGAGACUCCGCCGGGGUCUGAGAGCA